AUAGAACUCCAUGCGAUAACAAAGCCCGGUAUGGACGGACGCAAUUGCUAUGCCGACGAGCACUAUUUGCCAACCUUUUUCUAUAUGCUUGAUCCUUACGGGAUUGCAAACUGGUCGGUAAGACACGUCGACUGGUCUGAAGGAAAAUGGCAUCCGAAAUCUUACCACGAGCAAGACUUCUCAUACCAACUAAUAAAAAAUAUAACGAAGAAAACUAUGGUUAUGCCAUGUAUGUGGAACGGGAUCAACCGACCGUGUUACUUAUUUGCAAGAAAAUUUAAGCCCGAUACUCUACACCGCAUGAUAGAUCUAUUCACGAAUCAAACGAUGUUUUAAGCAUGGUGACGAGUUUUGUUAUGAUUUUUGGUUCGAAUCAAACCCGUUUGGUUGUAUGUGUUUAUCUUCUUUUGUUCAAGUCUUUUCACAAGCAAGCUUUCCGCCUUUAAAAUGAUUCCAUUAUUGAUGAAUGCGUACAAGGAAACUUGUUACACAUCUGGUAAGUGGUAAGCCCGUAUGCAUGUUUAUUUAUCAUCCAGACCGACACCAUCCAAGCAGCGUAAGGCUUUUGUAACAAUCAGCUGGUCGGAAGCAGCUAAGAAUGCCUUUGUGGUGGACAACGAAUGUACACGCGAAUGAGUUCUUGUACGAAAACUCUCUAUCCACUGUUGAAAUCAUCAAAAAGAUCGAGACCCCUAUUGACAAGCUUCAAGCUUUUACCAAUAUUCUUAAAAAUAGCGACGAAAGUGACAAAACAAAUCUGACGAUUUACAUUGGUGACUCGGUUGGCGACUUGCUUUGCCUUCUAGAAGCUGAUAUCGGCAUAGUUAUUGCAUCAAGUUCAAGCCUUCGAAAAAUCGUAACCCAUUUUGGUGUGUCGUUUGUUCCGUUAUUUUCUGCUUUAAUCAAGAAACAAAAAGAGCAUGUCGAAGGAAGUGCAUUUGGUUGGAAGGGGUUAUCGGGCGUUUUGUAUACGGUUUCUAGCUGGGCUGAAGUACAUUCUUUCAUCAUCGGUUCUUGAAAUGGAACGUUUCUUCUGUGUUGUUAUAGAACAAAGAGGACGCAUCUUUACAUGUAAUAGAAUGAAGAUGCAACUUGUCAUGGCUGUUGAUUUUAAUAUGGGCCAUAUAUUUUCAUAAAUUUCGUGUAUUUUCAUCUCAAAACAGGAAUUUCUGCUGGUAUAAUGAAUGUUGUCAAGUGGGCAGAGUGGUUCUGUUGCUGAGAUGAAUAGUUUCAUAAGCUUGUAGGGUUUAUUUUCAUAAUUCAAGUUUUUGAAUUUUUUUUUCAGAUUUUAAUUCGAUUUUUUGGCUGGUAAAUAUGUGAAUGGUGUGAUGAAACCUCUGGAAAACCUACAAUUGCACAUUAGAUUCUAUUUUUCUA